rnacentral:rRNA from 1 species
AGACCCGAAACCCGGUGAUCUAGCCAUGGGCAGGUUGAAGGUUGGGUAACACUAACUGGAGGACCGAACCGACUAAUGUUGAAAAAUUAGCGGAUGACCUGUGGCUGGGGGUGAAAGGCCAAUCAAACCGGGAGAUAGCUGGUUCUCCCCGAAAGCUAUUUAGGUAGCGCCUCGUGAAUUCAUCUCCGGGGGUAGAGCACUGUUUCGGCUAGGGGGCCAUCCCGGCUUACCAACCCGAUGCAAACUGCGAAUACCGGAGAAUGUUAUCACGGGAGACACACGGCGGGUGCUAACGUCCGUCGUGAAGAGGGAAACAACCCAGACCGCCAGCUAAGGUCCCAAAGUCAUGGUUAAGUGGGAAACGAUGUGGGAAGGCCCAGACAGCCAGGAUGUUGGCUUAGAAGCAGCCAUCAUUUAAAGAAAGCGUAAUAGCUCACUGGUCGAGUCGGCCUGCGCGGAAGAUGUAACGGGGCUAAACCAUGCACCGAAGCUGCGGCAGCGAACGUAUCACUUAAAGCGAUUCAGCGGGUUACGAUUGACGAAGCGAAGCGACGUCAAAGCGUAUACAAAGUCGAGUCGGUUUAAGGAUACGUU